CGACUCAGGUCCUUCCUCACUUAAUCACACCAAUCUUUCGCCUUUUAUUGAAGAUUGCCGUGGGGAAGGACACCAUAAUGAGCCUCUAGGCCAAUUGUCUGGGAGGCCUCGCCCGUUUGAGCGAGGC
rnacentral:snRNA from 1 species